rnacentral:rRNA from 1 species
GAUGAACGCUGGCGGCGUGCCUAAUACAUGCAAGUCGAGCGAACAUACUCUGAUCUUGCCCCUCUGACGUUAGCGCCGCACGCGUGAGUAACACGUGUAAAAACUCCCUCUCAUACUCUGAUACCUCUAGGAAACCGGAGCUCUUAUCCGGUAAUAUAUUAUACCGCACGGUUCAAUUAUUUAAGACGUGUUUACUCUAACAUAUUGAUAUGUCCGCGCCGCAUUAGCUAGUUGGUAAGGUAACGGCUCACCAAGGCAACGAUGCGUAGCCGACCUGAGAGGGUGAUCGGCCACACUGGAACUGAGACACGGUCCAGACUCCUACGGGAGGCAGCAGUAGGGAAUCUUCCGCAAUGGGCGAAAGCUUGACGGAGCAACGCCGCGUGAGUGAUGAAGGUCUUCGGAUCGUAAAACUCUGUUAUUAGGGAAGAACAAAUGUGUAAGAAACUUAGCACGACGUGACGGUACCUAAUCAGAAAGCCACGGCUAACUACGUG